rnacentral:other from 1 species
GUUUUGCUGCGACGUUGGUGACUGCCAAUAUAGUUUUUAGAUCUAUGUUUUGAUAAUGCGGGAGUCCUAAAUCGCUUGCGCGGCAGUAAACCGAGCUUGUACUCGGAAACUUUAAGCAGCAGGCAGCGACGCCCCCCUGGGUUUCCCAGGUCAAAAACUGAGGUAAGACGGCGAAGCGGUAAACCC